CUAAACCGGGAUUUACAGCUGUGGAUGUGUUCAUGACUCGUUAUUACGACGGAUCUGGUCAUGAUGAGCAUCUGAUCGUCUUCAGAGACACAAAGAUCUCAGUGUUGAGCUGUUCAUCUGCAGUCUGUCAGAGAAGAGAGGAAAGAUGAGUCUCUCACACAAACAGAGGGAUAACGAGAGCUUGUGGAGAGAACUGGACUCAUUGAAACAGAAAUAUCAGCAGCAGCACACAAUCA